ensembl:lncRNA
GUGUCACCUUUUAAUAAUUAAAAACUCAGAGUUUGCUGUUUAAUACAUUACCUUAUUUCGGCUGGAUGUUUUAAUGGCCCAGUAUGGGCCUAUCUAUGUGACUCCAUAACCCUCUUGGUACCAAUAAAACCUGGCGUAGACAGCCAGUCUCCCUUGGGUAACUGUCUUUGACUGCAAACAUUCCCAGUACUUCAUUCCCUGUAACUGCCUAAUUUAUCAAAGAACCCUGGGGCGGUAUGACAUCAUAUUGCCCUCACCACACCUUUAACUAAAUCCAGUCUGAAACCAGGUAUCAUUUGCACCAUAUGGGAUUUGACGCAGGUAUUUUUUCUUCUCCUUCCUGUGUCUUGUAUACAGAAACACUUACAUGGCAUAAUGAAUGUUUGCAAAUGUAAACUGAUAUUUCCUACUGGCACAAUCAAGAACAAGUGUGAUCAAGUCAACCUAGAUCAAGACAAGACAGGCAGAGAUCUUCUGUCAACAAUAGAAAGGCAGAAAGAUAUCACUGGAGAGUAAAUGAAAAUAGCCACAUGCAAAGCAAAGGUGUCAACAAGACCAGGAAUCUAAGAGGAAAUAGUCCAAAAUCUUCCAUACAUCAGGUGCUUCAGACUAACAAAACAUCCCAGGUAAUGGAAGACGAGGACCAAAUCAUGGAUAUUCUUAAUUUUACACAAAGUGCUUUGCAAAGAGAAACUUUUGGAUGUGCUGUAGUAAGUUACUGAUCACCUCAUGAGCUGAACAAAUCCCAAAUAUAUUGCCAGUAUCACCCAGGAUCCAUCAGAAGUAAGUGCACAGUCAUUGCUGUUAAACUUUUAGCCCCAGUUUUACAAAUGGGGCUUAGCUUAAGCCAGGACUAGGUCUUAGUUGAAUUAAGAUAUUUAAGCAACUUUUACAAAAGUGCCUUAGAAGAAAAUAUUAAGGUGUGCAUCUUGACACAGAACAAUGACACUGACAUAUUUUAAGAUAUGUCAGAGCAAGAUAAUUUCAGUUGAGACAGCUCAAAUAUGCAUUUCAGUCUGGGACUAUCUUAAGCCUUGUCUGUUAAACUGGGGGUUAAUAUUUUCACUUUUUAUAUUAAUAAAAGUAAAUGUAAACAUUUAAACUUAAAAGAG